rnacentral:rRNA from 1 species
AGAACGACUCUCGGCAACGGAUAUCUUGGCUCUCGCAUCGAUGAAGAACGUAGCGAAAUGCGAUACUUGGUGUGAAUUGCAGAAUCCCGUGAACCAUCGAGUCUUUGAACGCAAGUUGCGCCCCAAGCCUUCGGGCCGAGGGCACGUCUGCCUGGGUGUCACGC